rnacentral:lncRNA from 1 species
AAGGAUUGGGUUUUUAGGGUUUUGUUUUGUGAGUCCUUGUUCUGUUAUUUUGUACACCUCUCUACUGCCUCCAUUGAUAAUCAUAUGGCUUAGAGUUGGUUUGUUUAGUUGAGUUGUAAUCUCUUCAAAUUGUUGUUUGAUCAUGAGAUCUAUCUUUCAAUCUCUUGUAAGGGAUCUGUCACUGUGGCAGUGAUCAUUAGGAGUUAGGGGAAGUUUCCUCAUAGCUUAGAGGAGAAGGGCUAAGCUAGAUUCACUUAUGUAAUAGUGGUAGACAUUGAAGAGGCUCUAUACUAAGGGGGAGUACUUAGGUAUAGGAGGGACUUUCAUGUGACCUGAGAGCUAUUAUUUGAUAGUGAAUUGACUCCUGGAUUGGUAUCCUCCAGAUGUAGGUGAUGUUGCACCGAACUGGG